rnacentral:lncRNA from 1 species
AAGGAGCAUAAGCUAUUAUGUUUGUGUUCGAUUAUAAGACUGAAGUUUUCAUAAUGAUUUUUUUACACUUAAUUUUUUAUUAUAUGCAUAUGACAGCUGCAUUUCUGAACUUACACCGUGCUUAGCCUGUUAAGCACUAACAGUGCGUUACAAUUGAUCAACUAUAUUUGGUUGAAUAAUGAUUAAUACUAAACACUAAUAAUUAAUUACAACACUGCGCUAUAUUUCCAAAAAUUUUUUUUUUUCUUGAAAUCUAGAAAAAUUUAUAUUUUUUUUACCCCCA